AUACCUUUCUAGGCCUUCUGGCUAAGAUCAAGUGUAGUAUCAAUUAUUCUAAGUUUAAUAUCUGAUAUGUGGGUUAUGUGCCCACAAUAAUAUUAAAUUUAUUUUUUAUGGGGAGUGUCCAUCACACUAGCUUGCUAGUGGGACUCCCUCCAACCAAUACGAAGUAAACAAUUCUAAUCAUAUAAAUAAAAUUGAUUUGGCUAACCCAAU
rnacentral:snRNA from 1 species